rnacentral:rRNA from 1 species
GACGAACGCUGGCGGCGCGCUUAACACAUGCAAGUCGAACGGAAAGGCCUGCUUUCCCUUGUGGAUUGCGGGUACUCGAGUGGCGAACGGGUGAGUAACACGUGAGUGAUCUGCCCCCAACUUGGGUAUAAGCCUGGGAAACUGGGUCUAAUUCCCGAUAGGACUGCAGGGUGGUGCCUGUGGUGGAAAACGUUUUGCUAGUGGUUGGGGAUGAGCUCGCGGCCUAUCAGCUUGUUGGUGGGGUAAUGGCCUACCAAGGCGGCGACGGGUAGCCGGCCUGGGAGGGUGGACGGCCACAUUGGGACUGAGAUACGGCCCAGACUCCUACGGGAGGCAGCGGUGGGGAAUAUUGCACAAUGGGCGGAAGCCUGAUGCAGCGACGCCGCGUGGGGGAUGACGGCCUUCGGGUUGUAAACUCCUUUCGACCGCGAGGAAGCCACCUGGUUGGAAGGGUGGUGACGGUAGUGGUAGAAGAAGCACCGGCUAACUACGUG